rnacentral:rRNA from 1 species
UACGUAGGUGGCAAGCGUUGUCCGGAAUUAUUGGGCGUAAAGCGCGCGCAGGCGGUCCUUUAAGUCUGAUGUGAAAAGCCCACGGCUCAACCGUGGAGGGUCAUUGGAAACUGGGGGGACUUGAGUACAGAAGAGAAGAGUGGAAUUCCACGUGUAGCGGUGAAAUGCGUAGAGAUGUGGAGGAACACCAGUGGCGAAGGCGACUCUUUGGUCUGUAACUGACGCUGAGGCGCGAAAGCGUGGGGAGCAAACAGG